rnacentral:lncRNA from 1 species
CAGCCGUGCCCCCGGCGAUCCUGUCAGGAGUAAAUAGAAGCUGACACAGUCAUUUGCUUAAAUCUUCUCCACACUUUUGCCGCAUUUCCCUCCAGAGGACGGGCACGCGGCUCCUCUGAGAAUCCCCGUCACCGCCGAAAUCGCCGAAAUUGGCUGCAACUAGUAAAGAUGCCAGGAAUUUGCACCUUGCUCUGUGACCUAAAGCAAAAAUGACAUGAACAUUGACAAAUUUGACAAGGAAAUUUGU